UGUCUUCCGUGUUACGGUGUGAUGUUUGGUGUGAUGGUUUGCAGAGUAGGGUCUGUUUCAUAGGGAUGAAUUUUUAUAGCUUUGAAUAUUACGAUAUGUAGUUAGUAAAUAAAACGUUGUGCCCUAUAUUAAUGUGCUAAUAUUAGUUACGUCAGUGUGCACCUACGAAGCCUCGGACACAUUCAAAAUGUUGAGAUUUUUGAGUCGGAGAAGAGGACGUAAUGCACAAAAAACUUCAACACAAGUCAAAUCUGGAUCACAACGGAUCAUCCCUAAUAAACAUGUCGUUCAGUGUAAGGUUAUACUUCUAGAUGGCACCGAUCUGUCCAUAGAUUUAUCUAAAAAAGCUGUUGGUGUUGACCUGUAUGAGCAAGUAUUCUACUCUCUGGAUCUGAUCGAGAAGGAUUACUUUGGGCUGCAGUAUACAGACGCAAAUAAUGUACAGCAUUGGCUGGACCCAACAAAGGCCAUCAAGAAGCAGGUGAAAAUUGGUCCACCUUAUACACUUCGCCUCAAAGUUAAGUUCUACUCUUCAGAACCAAACAGCCUGCGUGAGGAACUGACACGGUACCAGUUCUUUCUGCAGCUGAAAGAGGAUAUUGUGCAGGGUCGACUUGAGUGUGCAUACCAGACGGCUGUCGAGUUGUCAGCACUGGCUCUCCAGUCUGAACUAGGGGACUAUGAAGAGGGUUACCACACGCCAGCAGUAGUGUCAGAGUUCCACUUCAUACCCAACCAGACUGAGGAGAUGGAGAUUGCUGUGUUGGAGGAGUACAAGAAAUGCAGGGGCCUGACACCUGCGCAGGCUGAGAUGAACUAUCUGAACAAGGUGAAGUGGUUGGAGAUGUAUGGCGUGGACAACCACACAGUGCUGGGUAAGGAUGGAUGUGAGUAUUCGCUCGGCCUGACUCCAACAGGGAUCUUGGUGUUUGAAGGGAUUCAGAAGAUCGGCCUUUUUUUCUGGCCAAAGAUUGGAAAAUUGGACUUCAAGAAGAAGAAACUGACAUUGGUCGUAGUGGAGGAUGAUGAUCAAGGGCGUGAACAGGAACACACGUUUGUCUUCAGAUUGCACAAUGAGAAGGCGUGCAAACAUCUGUGGAAAUGCGCAGUUGAGCACCAUGCCUUUUUCCGUCUCCGGGCGCCUGUGAAGGGGCCAUCAGCAAGACAGAACUUCUUCCGUAUGGGCUCCAGGUUCCGAUACAGUGGCAAAACUGAAUUCCAGACAACACAACAAAACAGAGCACGCCGUACAGUCCAGUUUGAGCGUCGUCCAAGUCAACGUUACGCCCGUCGCCAGUCCCACGUCCUGCGAGAAAGACAGAAGAGCAGUGCUGUGGUUGCAGCUUCCUCACAGACCAACACGGACACAGGCAUUGGUUCCAGCGACACGCCCCCUCUCAUGCAGUCAUCACCUACUGUGACAUCUGAGCCCAGCGAGACAUCAAGUAGCUCCUCGAGACAGACCGUCCGUCCUGCAGAGGAUGGAGCAAGCAGUGGGUUGUUGAAACCCACUACACCCAGCCCUGCACCCAGUUGUGGCAACUCAACCUGCAGUCCCGCUGCCUCAACUGUCAGCAGUGGCACAGGAACCCUGAAGAAGAACAAGUCCGCCACACCAGUGGCCACAGCUGCCGAGGAACACCUUGACUCGCUGCUCAAGAGUCUGGUGAAAGAGCCUUUGGGCAAUCCCAACACUGAUGAUUCACUGAAUGACGCAUCUUCGACAUGCGGAGCAUCCACUAAGACUGACGACUUGGAGGCUGCAGUGGGCCCCACUGCUCUGCUGGUGACAGUGGUUCCCAACAACCAGAAUGCCAAGUACUCUGGAGGUUCGGCUGGUGCCAGGCCACUUCCCCCUGACCAGCUUAAGUGCAAUAUUCUGAAAGCCAGAGUUGAGGAGGAGCUGAAGAAGACCCCACUUUCUGAUGACAUGAACAACCGGGACGAGCGUGGAACUGAGAAGAAUCUGCUCAACGGGAAGAAGCAGCAGCAGCUGUCUCUACCUCUGGACACACUCAGCGCUACGUUCGUGUCUGUGGGUGGUGAUAAGCUCACAUUAUCCCUGGGUGGUGCUAACUCCAUGGCUGUUGGCCCCAGCACAACACUGGACAGUGCUCACAGUGAGGAUGCCUCACAGGGCGAGACCGAUGAUAGCAGGCUGUCACAGAAGCGCUGCACCACCCCAGUGACUGUGACGCACUUCUCAUGGUCUGAUCAUGGCAAACUGGAGCGUGUGAUACUCCCGUCACCAUCACUUGAUAGCAAGAACGCUCUGAACCACUCCAGCAGUGAAGAUGCAACAACCAAGAAGCCUGUGGUGCCCCCACCUGUUAGCCUGAUCAUGACUUCUGGCAGUCACACAACUCCAUGCCUGUCUCCAAAGGUCAUCAGGCCAAUGGCUCAGUCCCCCAAAUCUCCACAUCUUUCCCCCCCACCUGUCCUGCACCCAAACAAUCCUUUCAUAAAUCCAUUUACAGCCUCAAAAUUGUCCCCUACCGAAUCGAGGUCUCUGCCACCGACAAAUCCCUUCCAUGGGGUGUCAGCAGAUAAGCCGAACCCUUUCUUGUCUCUCUCUGCCAUAUCAAACCCUUUCAGGGAGUUGGUGGGUAGCAAGCCCCAUAUCUCACAUGAUAAUCCUGAGAGUGGAUCUGAUAAGACAUCUUCUGCCCCUUCAAAAUCACCCACUGUUCCUUUGUCCCCUGUAGUGCAGAGCUCUCCAGUGGCUGAUAAGCAACCAUCUGUGACCACUGGCGACAUUCGCCAGCGCAAAGUUUCGAAGGAGUCGCCCCACGCUCCUGCUCCCGCUGCAGCGAACACACAGCCCACCAAAUUGAAUUCUAGUGGCUCCGUGCCAAGCCUAAACCAGCUUUCUCCAUGGCUUGUAGCCUCUGACACUUCAGCUACCACUGACACAGCCACGAAGCCAGUCAAACAUGAACAGCCAGUGAUACAUCGGAAGACCGUCAUCACAACUGAACUGUGACUAUGUGCACGUCAUUUCGAAGAAGAAAAAUCUGUUAAAUAAUGAAGUGAACUAUAUAGGCCUUAACCCUCCUUUUGCUGCAGGGUGUUCCUUCAAAAAAUGGCAUUCAUAUCAGCAUGAAUUAUACAGGUUAGAAAAUUGUCUUCUGAUCACUGGCCAUGCCAGAGAGUGCAAUGCCAGCAGAACUUGCAUCAUCAGUAAGGAAAGAUUCUGGCCCAUGGUUGGCAGCUGCUACAACAGGUCAAGUAAUGCUGACUACACUGACUGAGGUUUUUGUAGUUUUCCUCAGUCCAUUCAGGGUAGAAGAGGGUACCUCGGCAUGGAAGCUGCAGUUUCUGUGAAUGAGGCUAAGUAGCAUCCAAUCACACAUGACAGUAAUCUUCAUACUCGCUGCUGUGAGAACCUCAGGUCUCAAAGACAACUUGAAGUUUGACGCAGUGCUGACAGGAGGGUUGUAGUAACAUUGAAACAUACAUCAACACAAACAGUUAAUCGUGUUGGUUUACUAUAGCUAUAUGUGCCAUGUGGGACCAGAUAUAUACCUGUAUUAGUGAUGUUCCUUCAGUGCCUUGCAAAACUGAAGUGUUGGUAUAACUGGUCAGCUCUGUAUUAGCCUUUGUAAUGCCUAGAUUGAUCAUCUGAAUGGUAAAAGCAAUGUGCAGAUAGUCUACUGAUUCCUGAAGGUGGAUGGUAGGUAAGUAGCAGACUUUGUUGUUGCACAUACUGCUGUUUGCCUUCAGUACCCAGUGAGACACUACUGACCAAAUAUGAUCUGAGUUAGCAUUGCCUAGCCACUCGCCACACAGCUGCCUUACCUCACAGAGCUGGAGAUGCAGUAACUGAACUGUGCUACGCCCAACUUUGUGACUGUAAUUAUGGAAAAUAUUGCAGCCUUAGAAUGUAAAUUGUGAAAUCUCAUAAAAUAUUACCAGUAUGUAAACAGGUUGCUGCCCAUUGCUGAAGAAUAAUUAAUUUUGUAAGAAGAAGAAGAGCAUGGAGUUAGUCUUGCACCAAGAGAUGGAAGCAUAAGACAUGAAACUGUCAUUCUGACAUGGGAAUGUGCAAGUAAUCUUGCCAGUACAUAUUUCUGAUCAUUCUGAGGCCAAGGUCACCAUCUCUGAUCUCACUGUUCAUCUUUAUGAAUUUGGCCCUUGUAAUGUGAAUUUUAAUUUUGACUGCCAGAAUAAGAAAUGUUUUGGAGCCUGACAGCCGCAAAACCAAAGGCUUUUGAGGUCCAUGCAUUUAUAUAAUUGUGUUUAGUUUUAGAUUUAAAAUUCUCAGACUAUGCAACAUUGGACCUGAUUUUCACAGAGGAUAUCAUUUGAGGUCUAUUUGAGCAUGUGACACAGUACAAAUAAAACGUAUUUUCUUUUCAGUUGAAUCAAUCUGUUAUUGGAUUGCAAAGUGAUUUUCUCAGUGUCAGACUUGUUAUUUAACAUGUAACUGAAUACCACCACUUUGAAAAAUGUAGUUCAUGUAAGUGAUAUUUAAAAAUUGAGUUCCUAUGUCACAGGAAAGACACUACAUUCACAUUACAAAGACCAACCAGUUAAUGCUUUUGAGGGAAGUAGUCCCUACUUAUUGUGAGAAUCAUGUAAAUCACAUAAAUGCACUGUGUGUGAAAAAACAAUUUUUUUAAUACUGUUCAAGCAGGUAUUAAGCAUGCCAUGUGCUUCAGAAGGUUAAUCAAAAUGUUUCUGAAGAUUAGUUUGUGGCUCCUGAUGUUUCUGGCAGGUUGAGCAUUCCUUGUGGAUCAAAAUUUGUAUUAUGGAGAUGUAAGGAGAGAUGAGGUGUUGGCUCUUCUGAUUAAUCAGGUGCUUGUUGAUAGUUACAGAUUUUUAUGUAAAGUUUUUAUGUUUUACUUUGUAAGGCUGGGAACACUGCUUGGUAGUAAUUUUCUUCUGGAGGUAAGUUAGUUUGUCAAACAUGGAUUUUGUUGCAGGUAAGUGUAUUUGUUAUAGAGUAUUAAAGUAACAUUAUUGUUGGAUUUGAGGUUCUCACAGAUGUGACAGCAUGUAGUUUGGUACAAGUUCACCAUCCUUCAUCCAGCAAGAUAUGGCAAGAAGCAGAGGGAAACACUGAAAUGUGGGCACACAUUUACUGAAAAUUAUGACGUCACACCCAGAAUAUAGUACUGUCAGUGACAAGCCCUUUCCUGGUCCAUGCAGCAUCAGACCAGAAUACUUGUUUUAAGGCUGGAUGAUAAGGAAAGAGGGCCAUCAAGGUGUGCUGUGUGUUCAAGCUGCACUGCCUUAGCUCAUGUCGGUGCUUGGACAUCGCGUUUCAUCUUCCCUCCUUAAGGACUGAUGUUGAUAUUAACAUGAACAUUUCUGUCUGCAUGAAGAAACACACUCAGGAUUCGUCCAGGUUUACUUCAAGUCUUAUGCGCUCAGUAUUAGAUGGACUCUGACUGACUUUCCCUCAGCACCGAU